rnacentral:sRNA from 1 species
UAUAACAAAUUUAUACAACUUAAUUUAUUAUUUAACAACAUAUCUCAAUUUUUUUAUACACUUGUAUACUUUUAACUAUUUGAUUCGUACACUUACAUCUGUACAAACACUUUUAGUGUACAUAUGUAUAUAAAUAUACACAACGCCAUAUCUGUACAGUAGUCUAUAUCUGUAUAGAUAUAUAUUAUUUAUACUGUGUCAUAUAAUAUAAAAUUUAAAAGUCAUUAAACAAAAUGCAUUUCAAAUGAUAGAGAAAAAAACAUAGAUUUUAUUUAUAUGAUCAAUUUUUAAAAAAAU